rnacentral:rRNA from 1 species
UAGGGAAUCUUCCGCAAUGGGCGAAAGCCUGACGGAGCAACGCCGCGUGAGUGAUGAAGGUUUUCGGAUCGUAAAGCUCUGUUGCCAGGGAAGAACGUUUUUUAGAGUAACUGCUAAGAGAGUGACGGUACCUGAGAAGAAAGCCCCGGCUAACUACGUGCCAGCAGCCGCGGUAAUACGUAGGGGGCAAGCGUUGUCCGGAAUUAUUGGGCGUAAAGCGCGCGCAGGCGGCGAUUUAAGUCUGGUGUUUAAACCAUGGGCUCAACCUGUGGUCGCAUCGGAAACUGGAUGGCUUGAGUGCAGAAGAGGAAAGUGGAAUUCCACGUGUAGCGGUGAAAUGCGUAGAGAUGUGGAGGAACACCAGUGGCGAAGGCGACUUUCUGGGCUGUAACUGACGCUGAGGCGCGAAAGCGUGGGGAGCAAACAGGAUUAGAUACCCUGGUAGUCCACGCCGUAAACGAUGAGUGCUAGGUGUUAGGGGUUUC